rnacentral:lncRNA from 1 species
AAAAAAAAGCCUAGGAGAGGAUGAGUGGAGCUGCGUGCAUUAGGGGCUGGCUGUGGAGGGGUCCCACAGAGGCUGCAGCUGAGGUCUGGGUGUGUGCAAUUCUCAGCUGGGCUUUGCCCUACCCAGGUUGACGACUGAAGAAUCACAGAGUGUGGAAAAGAACACAAGGAGAAAUUGGUGAGAACAUCUGCCUAGCAUCUCCAAGUCCUGUGGAGGGAGCCAGCAGUGCUGGUCCAAAGAGGACCCAGAGAGUGAACUCAGAGUGACCACAUCUGAUAGAAGAGGGGAAGAUGUAGUUUCUGAGUCCAGUCCAGUGUUUGUGUCUCUCACAUUGUCAACAAAAGAAAGGCUCCAGCUGUCCCCACAGACAUAUGGAUAUUCCAGGAGCCACGUAAAGAUGGAGAAAUGGAGGCACAGAGAAAUUAAGUGACUUGGCCACAGUCACAAGCUGGGGAGGACCAGGGAAAGCCUAGAGAGAGCUGGCUCUGGGCCUGCAUCCUGCCCACGGAGUCACCCUGCCUCCGUCCUCAGGAGAGAAGGCUUCCUACAAGAUGGACGUGGACUCUGAGGAGAAGCGCCAUCGCACACGGUCCAAAGGGGUUCGAGUUCCUGUGGAGCCAGCCAUACAAGAGCUGUUCAGCUGUCCCACUCCAGGCUGCGACGGCAGUGGUCACGUCAGUGGCAAAUAUGCACGACACAGAAGGUAAUGCCUGCCUUUUUCACAAUGUGCUGUCUAAGAUGGCUUGUUUAGAGACCCAAUGCAAGUGAAGACAUGUGGGUAGGUGUUCGGGGAUAUAAUGCAUGCUAUCCUUGCCUUCUUUUCUCUCACUUCUCCAUGUUCUUCCAUCUCCUAUACAGUUCUCAAAGCAUAAGCCACUCUAUGCCACAAUCUUAACAAUAUACAAAUUGGCAAAAAUUACGAUGAGUCUCACAUUAUCACCCAUGAGCCCAUGCUCAGCCUACAGAGGGCCUGGGGCUUCUUACGAUCCUUGAGGACCUCUUAUCCUUGUCUCCUCACUUCUCCCUCCAUGAGCUGAGGAUGGUGAACCUCUGAAGUUAAAUUAACACAGGACCUGCUGAACUUUCUGCAGCAACUUUGGUCCCAUCCAUCAUCUGAGAGAUCUUCUGCUGGGACACACAGACUGAAAUGACACCCAGACAACUGCAGUGAUUGCACAGGGGUUGAAAGUUAGGACAGAUCACACUCGUAGUCCUGGAAAAAUAUGGUUCUGCUGUGAAACCCACAAAUACUGGGGUUUCACAUCCCUAGUGGCAAGGGCUCCAAAGCACAUGUAGAAGAAAGGUAUCUACAAACUCACCACAGUGAGAGCGCCUUACACACCCCUGUGACACUCAUGUUGGCUUCACAUGUGCUCUGACAGGAAGCACAGGUGGGUCCUUCCUGCUGUAUGACAGCCCCAGACAUGGUAGGUGAGUAGUGCUUGCUAGUAAUAAUGAUAUUGUUCUCACUUAUUUUUGAGAAGUCAAGUUGUAAGGAGUAAGGUCAUCCUUUUCUACAAACUUCCCACAGCCAGACUGAUCUUAUCAGACAUGAGUGCUCUGGGGAUACUCAGGGUGACCUCUCUUUUGUCUUCAUUCUCUGUUUCGUCUCCAGUGAAACAUUCAUUUGUGGGUGAAAUCAAGCCAUUAUUUUGAUUGUC